rnacentral:lncRNA from 10 species
UAACAAACAGGUCUUGCCUCAGCCUUACCCUUCUUGCUGCUGCUUCUGUUGGGUUUCAGAGGGCUUGCAGACUUCUGCAAUGACUUCAUCUAUAUUACUUUAUAGUAAUUUAUCUUAGUCCAGGUGCAGUGCCUCACACCUGUAAUCCCAGCACUUUGGAAGGCUGAGCUGGGAGGAUUGCUUGAGGCUGGCAGUUCAAGACUUCUUCCAUUUUAAGGGGCCUUGUGAUUACAGCUGGUCCAUCUGGAUAUUCUAAGAUAUUCUCCCUAUUUUAAGGAGAGAAAUCUGAAAUCUGAGGUGCAGUUGAUUUGAAUCCAGGAAAUCUAAGGAAAAAGUUCAAGCUCUUAAUCAUUUCAUACCCUUCUUGUUGCUAACUUAAACUUUUUUUUUAAAAAAGUUAAUCUUGUCUAUGAAGCAUGAAUCUAUAAUACUAGGGAAAAAACUGGCUAACUUGAAGAAAAAAUAAAUUGAAAUGAAAAGCAAUUAAUUCCUCUUAAUAUGAAUAAAGGAUGAUCUAAAUGCUUUUUGAGAAAUGAUUUCAAGUAAUGAAAUUUACAGGAAAAAAAAUCCUCUUUUCUGAAUAAGCAAUCAUGGUAUUAAUCCUAAGUUCUUUAAUCUUUAUAUUUACAUUUGUUCUUAAAGCUUGGUGUUUUCUACCAAAACCAUCUGUGUAUCUCUGUCUAUCUUCACGUGUUCUUUCUGUAUACAUUCAUGCAUGCGCACACACACAGAGAUUUCAUUAUUUAUUCAUAAAAUAGUUGAAAAUCACUGCUUUGGCCCUUUUAACUGUAUAUAAAUCUCUCAGUUCUCUAGUGCUUGGAAAGGAAGUAUUUAUUUUAUUUUAUUUUUAUUUUAUUUAUUUUGAGAUAGAGUCUCACUCUGUCGCCCAGGCUGGAGUGCAGUGGUGCAAUCCUGGCUCACUGCAGCCUUAAUCUCCAAGGCUCAAGCUGUCCUCCCACCUCAGCUUCCCUCGUAGCUGGGACCACAGGCAUGCCACCACACCCAGCUAAUUUUUGUGUUUUUUUGGAGAGAUGGGGUUUCCUCAUGUUGCCCACGGUGGUCUGGAACUCCUGGGUUCAAGUGACUGGCCCUACCUUGGCCUCCCAAAGUUCUAUGAUUAGAGGCGUGAGUCACCCUCCCUCGCCAGGAAGUAUGACAAACAGAAUGAGCCUGCAACCAGAGUCUUUGAUUCAAACCCUUGCCCACCAUUCACUGACUGUUUGAGCCUCAGUAUCUUUAUGUGGAACAUGAGGUCUAUAACAGAACUUAACAAACAGGAGAUAAUUAUUAAUGAGAUUAAAUGCAAUGAGGAAUGUCAGUGGUACCCUCUCUGUAGAGGAACUUAAGGAGUUGAGCCUCCAAGCUUCUUUCUUGAUAUGCUGAUGAAAGACAUAGCCUAGUUUAUGGUGGGUGCUGCUUAAAUUCCAGCCCUCUCUCUUUCAGUCAACAGGCUUGGACUCAAAAUAAGCCCCAUUCAGGCUGAUUUGCCUGCCUAUAUCAGUCACAAACUGCACCUCUUGCAAAAACAGCUUUCCCUCCAAUGUGUACUGGCCUUGAAGAAGACUGAGAUAUAGGGAAACAAAGAUCUUUAAAAUCAAGUUACUGAAAGGUCACUGAAAUAAUAUACAGUGAAAGAUGGAUGAUGCCAUCAUUGUAUAAAUAAAGUCAGUACAACCAUUAAAGAACUUACAAGUAUGGGUUUUUUCUUCUCUAUGGUUAUGAUCAUGGAUAGAAUAAUUUUGAUAUGACCAUGAUUAUAUUAUAUCUGGAUGGUUUAGAUGUCUUUCAGAAAAUUAAUAUUUAUUCUUUGGCAUUAUAUAAUUUCUUAAAUAAACAUGAAGAGAGAAAUGUUUUGAAUAACAAUUCUCUAGUCCUAAAUUUUCUAUACUUAGCAUGUAUUGUUUCUUUUUUAAUAACUUACAACAACUUUAUUUUAAAAUUAGUUUAGGCAAUGUUUUUUGAAAUGGCUUCUUUGAAGUCGCUUCUUGGAAUGAUUAUAGCCAUUGUGUAAAGCCAGCAAUAAAAGAAGGAUUUGAAAGUAGAGAGUAGAACAGUAGUUACCAAGGGCUGGAGGCAGGGGUAGAGGAGAUAUUGAUCAAAGGACACAAAAUUUCAUUUAGGAGGAAUAAGUUAAAGAGACGCACUGUCACAUGGUGACUACAGUUAAUAACAAUGUGUUGUGUUAUUGAAAAUCCAUGAGGGUAGAUUUUAAGUGUUCUGACCACAAAAAAAAGCAUGUGAGGUAACACAUACAUUAAUUAGCUCUAUGUAGCCAUUCUAUAAUGUAUACAUGUUUCAAAACAACAUGUACACAAUAAAUAUAUAUGAUUUUUUAUUUGCUAGUUAAGAAAAGCGUUUGACACUUCAAAAAAUAAAAUACUUUUGGCAUAUGAAGAGUCAUUUACAAUCACGCCCCAGACUUUGUUGUUAAUAUUAGCAGGGAUAGUCAUUGCUUAUAAGGUCUUCACAUGCUUAUAAAAGAAGUUUCACUAAAUCUAGUUAGCAUUGAGAAGUGUUGACAAGAAGAGUUGAAAAUAAACCUCAAGACAACUUUCUGAUUUAAAAUUCUAUUUCUUGGUGUGUGAAUGUUAUUUUUGAGGAAACAUACACUUUAUUGCAACAUAAUAAAUAAAUGAGAAAAUAAGACAAUGUUAUUUUACCCAAUAUAGCAGGGUGGUCUUUAAAUAAGUGCAUAAAUAGCCCAUGAGAUAGUUUGAAGCUUUCAGCUUUGUCACCCUGUUGGUCUAGUCAAAUGACUCACAUAUUAGCAAUUUGUUUGCAAAACAUCUUCUUCUUAUAGUUUCCAUUGGAUUACAUAAGAUUGUUUUAUCCUGAUAGAUAAUCUGGACUUUCUUCACCAAAAGAAGGUUAAUAUUCCUACAAAUUUUAAACCAAAACAUUAAAUUUUAUACUGAAAAUACAUCUUCCUUGAGGUCAAGACUGUAGGGGAAGGCAGAUUUUUGGUGUCCUUAUCCAAAUGAUAGCCUUGCAAACCAGGCUGUUUUCAUGAGAGGAUUUUCUUACUUUAUUUAAAUCUUCUCUGAGCGUAACAGGAAAUAAAUCUGGAGACUCCAGCUUCUGGAGCUUUUCCACAAAGAAGAUAAUCUUUCUGAUUUAAAGACACAAUAAACCCUUCUUUCUCCAUGUUCUUCAAAAUCCAUAGAGCUCAAAUAACCACUUCUUUUCAUUCGCUAUAGAACAGCAUUAUUUCCAAAAUUGCAUUUAAAUCAUCUACAUACAGAAGGUUAAAUUUGUUUAAAAAUGAAUAAUUACAUUCAUUUCUUUACAUUUGUACUCUGAAUAAUGUGGAAUUUAAACUAGGUGUGGUUACACUUUAGCUAUGAGACAUUGGGCCGGUCACUUAUUCUCUUCAGAGGAUUAAAAGGAUAAAAUAUUUUAAAAAAUAUCUAUCUAUCUAUCUAUCUAUCUAUCUAUCUAUCUAUCUAUAGAUAGAUACACACACACACACACACACACACACAUAGAGUUCUUAUACAAACCCUCAUUAAAUGUAAUCCAAGUUGUAGACCCACAGUACUGAUUUAGGUAGGCAAAAUAUCAAAUUAACAACAACAAAAAAAUACCAGACAUAAAAAAUGUGUCUCAUAUUCUGGACACAUCAUUAUUCUCUGAAAUAUCCACAGACCACUCUAAUCUGAGCACACCCUAGGUGGACCAGGAACACAAGUAAUGUGAAUGACUGCAAUAAUAAAAUGAGUAUGUUAAACUAUCAAUUACUUGGCUUUGAUUCUGUGCUUGAAUUAUAUUCAAUGAGCCUCUGCUGUGUGCCAGACAAUGUUCUGGGCAGCAGCGACACACUGGUGAACAGUCCUUGCCUAUAUGGAGCUUACAUUUUAGAAGGCAAAGACAGACCAAUAAAUAAGUCAGCAAACAAUUCGUCAAUAUAACUUCAAAUAAUAACAAAUACUUUGAAGAAAAUCAACUAGGGUCGUGCCUGAGGGCUUGGGAAUUAAAUGUACUUUAGUUUGGAAACCAGAGAAGUCAUGGCUGAGGGAUUUAUAUCUUCACUGACAACUGAAGACCCAGAAGAAACCAGCAAGGCAAAGGCUGGGAAUCAAUGUCUCCAGCUGUGUCCUUGAGGAAGCAGGAAAUGCAAACGGCUCUAAAGGAAGAAGGAGCUUACUUAUUUGCCAAACAGAAAGAAAGUUGAUGAGAGCAAUGAAACCGCAAAUUAAUUAAGAUCAAGAAAACACUAACACCAAAACUCAAAGGAUGUUGGAAGCUUGAAAGAAGACCUCAAAGACAAUAUUUGGGCAUAUUUUAAGAGCAUCAUCAAUACUCUGUAUGGCACCGAGGAUGACUUAUGGAAAAACAGAGUUAUCAAUGACUUUUUGUUGGAAAUUAUCCAAAAGAGUAAGAUUCUGCAAAGAAGUUUGUGAAUUUAUUUACCAGUUUAUUUUUAUUUCUAUUUUCAUUUUACGAUUGCCUGAGAGUGAUAUUUGAAAAGUGUUAUAUUCAUAUAUGUCUAAAUUUUUCAACAAGUAUCAAAUAAAGAUUCUAAGUUAUAAGAAAGCAUUGUGUCAGUUUAAUUGUAUGAUUUCUUAAAAUUAGCUCCACAUGAAUGAACGGUACAUCUAAAAUUGAUAAUUUGAUAAUUGUCUCAGAUUUGAGGAAAUACUAUCCUCCAUUAUAGACAAAGGCUAGAAGGACCUGGGAAUGGGGAGGGGGACUAUGUAACAGACAAAUAUUCCAAUCUCAGAUGAUUAUUCUUCCACUCUCCUUUUUUCUCUGAGUCUAAGCUCAUCUUUUACUGUCCCUCUGGACUUUAACAGGCACUCUGCUAUUAAUGCUUAAAUGGAGCAUCUACUUAAUUAGAUUACAGCAUUUACAGGACAUAAACCUUUGGGUACAUGUCAAAGACCCUGGACUUUAGGCCACAACCAAUGUAAGUGGAUGAUUUCCCAAUGAUAGCAUAUGCCUAGAAAGGUUUGGCUUUAUUUUCCGUGAGUUCUUAUCUAAUGCAAAAUAAACUUUGAAUUUAUAUUUCUUGAGUUUUCCAGCACACAAUGUUUUGCUUUUAUAACUUCUAUUAUUAAAAGAAGAAUAUUAUACUAUUUGUAAAUGUUUUUGAUGUGCAAAAUUUUAUACCUAUAGGUUGCAAAAUCUGUGCAUUGCACUAGAAAUUUUGCUGAGUUUUCAGCUCUUAGCCACAGCAUUUAAGUAGUACAAUUCAUUUCAUGUUUAACUUUAUUUAAAUAUCAUAGUGAGUAGACCAUUGGUUUUCAGAUUAUUUUAAAUUUCUUUGUAUAAUCUGAGUUGAUUUCCCAUUGUGUCUGCCAAAGUACUCUUCUUUCUUCUUGAGGACAGUGCACAUUUAGAAAUUACCUUUUUGAAACAUCUUGAAAACUGACUCUUCAAAAAUGACUUUCAAUACUUAAGAACAUGACAAAAAUAUAUUUAUAACAUAACUUUUAGUUACAUGUUAUGCCGUAUAUAAAACUAUGUACUUGUGAAUGUUCAAUACCUAUCCCCCUCCCCCCAAAACAGCAACUUGUUUUGUUGCAUUUGCUGAUUUAUAUAGUAUAAAUACUCCCACAUGUCCAGUUUCAAAGUACCAACUUGAUGUCACUGGACAUACAGUUAGGAAGGGUAUCAUUAUAAAGUAUUUUUACAGUAAAGAAGCAAUAAAUGUAAGCAACUACAAAAGCACACAUAAUAGUGAAAUGCAUUAAAAUAAUUGGGAAAUACUAAGUUUUGAGUAUUACUUCGUUUGCUUAUUUUGUAAUUUAUUUAAUUGUAAGUUUAUAUAAUCCAAUUUUUGGCAAUGGCUGUAUUUAACAACUGGUUUCCAAAUUUACAAAUGUACUCUUUUAAGCCUACAUGAACUGGGUGUAGUUCAGCACUCCUGUAUAUAUGAUAUUUGAUAUUGCCUAUUAUAACACAGGUUAAAAAUAGUGAAGCUUAAACUCAUUUGAGACUUCCUCCCUCCCUCUUUUCCUUCCUUCCUUCCUUUCCUUUCCCUCCUUCCUUCCUUCCUUCCCUCCAUCCUUAAGUUCUUACAGAUUUGCUAGACAUGUCAAAAUGAGUAGAAAUCAGUAUGAACAAAUUAAAUUAUAAAGUUACCUAUUUAUGCUAUUGAUAUGGGGACAGACAGAAAUAAGAAGGUUAUACUUUUCCAGGAUUCUAUAAUAUAUAUUUUCUUUAUAUGUCAGGAUAUAUGUACGUAUCCAGUUAUAUAUCUUGAUACAGUUAUUUUUGUUUCUAUGAAACCAUGUUGAAUGCUAUGAAAAGCCUUGAUAAUGGUAAGUUACUAAAAAAGGCUCUCUAGGUAUGAGCAAGAAGGCGAAAGACUGAGAUAAAAAAUACCAGCUGUUAGUUUCUGUAUUCUGAUUGCUUUGCUAGUAUCUUUAUAUUCUUGGACCACUUUAAAGAAAUAAAACCCAACAUUUUAAAUAAUGAAUUUCUGAGG